CUUAUUGAGCUUCUCCCUCUCACAGCUUGGCAGGAGUAGGUAUACAGGAAAGGCUGAAGAAAGUUUGUGGAAUUAAAAGACAGCUGGAGGAUACGUCCUGUUACAAAGACACGAGCUGGAACAAGUUUUCCUGCCUGCAGACCCAGGAGAUGAAUGGGCUGGUAGAAGCCAUCAAUGUAGUCAGCUGUUUCAUGUGAAUAUUCCCCUUUUCUGGACUCUGCACACAAACUCCAGCAGAGGCAAGCUAGGAUCGUUAGGACACCACUUUGCAGACUAACCGUUACUUAAUGCUUCUCUGCUAUGGAAUCCCAGCACUGAAGUGAGGAGUACUGUGGAGAUUCUCAGGUGCAACAAUAUGCUCACGAAGACUCGCUGCAGUCUCCGGGAUCAAGGACUUCCAGUCUACAGGUUAUCUCAUCGUGGAGAUAACCAAAUCUCUGCCAGCGCAUCGCGAGAAGACGGCUGG